GAGGGUAUAGCUCAGCGGUAGAUCGUGUGCUUAGCAUGCACAAGGUCCUGGGUUCAAUAUCCAGUACCACCA
rnacentral:tRNA from 1 species